rnacentral:rRNA from 1 species
GUUUGAUCCUGGCUCAGAACGAACGCUGGCGGCAUGCCUAACACAUGCAAGUCGAACGAAGGCUUCGGCCUUAGUGGCGCACGGGUGCGUAACGCGUGGGAAUCUGCCCUUGGGUUCGGAAUAACUCAGAGAAAUUUGAGCUAAUACCGAAUGAUGUCGAAAGACCAAAGAUUUAUCGCCCAAGGAUGAGCCCGCGUAGGAUUAGCUUGUUGGUGAGGUAAAGGCUCACCAAGGCGACGAUCCUUAGCUGGUCUGAGAGGAUGAUCAGCCACACUGGGACUGAGACACGGCCCAGACUCCUACGGGAGGCAGCAGUGGGGAAUAUUGGACAAUGGGCGAAAGCCUGAUCCAGCAAUGCCGCGUGAGUGAUGAAGGCCUUAGGGUUGUAAAGCUCUUUUACCAGGGAUGAUAAUGACAGUACCUGGAGAAUAAGCUCCGGCUAACUCCGUG